GAUGAAGAACGUAGCGAAAUGCGAUACGUAAUGUGAAUUGCAGAAUUCAGUGAAUCAUCGAGUCUUUGAACGCACAUUGCGCCCCCUGGUAUUCCGGGGGGCAUGCCUGUCCGAGCGUCAUUGCUGCCCUCAAGCACGGCUUGUGUGUUGGGCCCCCGUCCCCCUCUUUUUAGGGGGGGACGGGCCCGAAAGGCAGCGGCGGCACCGUGUCCGGUCCUCGAGCGUAUGGGAAGCAACUCUUUUUGUCACCCGCUCCUGUAGGUCCGGCCGGCGGCCUGCCCAACCCUCAAUCAAUCUUUUUAACCAGGUUGACCUCGGAUCAGGUAGGGAUACCCGCUGAACUUAAGCAUAUCAAUAAGCGGAGGA
rnacentral:misc_RNA from 1 species